GGGUAGAUGAGGAGACCUCAGGGUGUCUGGGUCUAUAGAGGGGUAGAGGAGGAGACCUCAGGGUGUCUGGGUCUAUAGAGGUGUAGAGGAGGAGACCUCCUUUCUCUACCCAAAAUCUGAGAAAAGGGGCUGACCUCAACACUAUAGGCAGCUGUGGUCCCCGGCCCACCACGACCAAACCACACUGACUAAACAGUGUCCCCUCUGACAAGCUCUGCCUGUCUGUCUGCCCCUCUCUCUGCCAGUCUGUCCCUCUCUCUGCCUGUCUGUCUGCCCUUCUCUCUGCCCAUCUGUCCCUCUCUCUGCCUGUCUGGAAGUCAGUAAGUAAAACGCGCAUUUCCUGCCCAUGACAUUCGGAACGAGGAACAGGAAGUGCACUGAAGCCUCUUCUUCUCAUUCUUAGAGGAUCCCUGUAGGAUUUGGGGCCGACAUCAGGCCAGCUUGGACACGGGUGAAGUCACAUACUGUAUCUGCUUCCGGUUCUGAUUCAGGUUAUAGUGACAGUUUACUCAUCGUGCUUUAUCCAGGCGAUGUAAGAUCUGGCGUCAGCAACGUCUGAACAGAGGACCACACCCUCUAACUGAUGACUUCACAAUGUGGUGAUGACGCAGUCCUUUGAACAUUCUAACUAAUGACGUCAUAGUGACAUGACGCAAGCCUAAUUGAUGACAUCACAAUAGGCUAAAUAUGGUCCUAUAAGAAGGGUCCUUUUAAACGGGCUCCCAGACUCCGUACCAUAGCAUUACAAUGAAUAGAGAACCUCUAUCCCAGUUCAAAGAUAAUCCCGUGGGUUUUACAGCUACUGGUCUGUUCUACAUGAAUUCUAAUCCUGUCCCCUUCAAUUUAACCCCUGGGGUACCUCCUCUCCUCACUUCCCUCAAUGAGACGUCUCCAUGGCGACACCAGUGUUAGCUAAUCCCUCAUUAUGGGAUAUAGUUCCCGUUUCCGUGUAGUUCCCAUAUCACACGGCACCAAACGGGUCAUAUUACAGUAAUCUGGGAAUAGUGGAGCAGACAGAUUAGAUUAAGCUCAUUAACAUCGCACACACACACACACACACACACACACGCACACACACACACA